rnacentral:rRNA from 1 species
GAUGAACGCUGGCGGCGUGCCUAAUACAUGCAAGUCGAGCGAACAGACGAGGUGCUUGCUCCUCUGACGUUAGCGGCGGACGGGUGAGUGACACGUGGAUACCCUACCUAUUAUACAGGGAUAACUUCGGUCAACCGGCGCUCAUACACUAUAAUAUCUUAAACCGUGUGAUUCAAUAGUGAAAGACGGUAUUCCUUUCAGUUAUAGCUUGCGUCGCACUGCCUUAGAUGGUUGGUAAGGUAACGGCUUAGCAAGGCAACGAUGCGUAGCCGACCUGAAUGGAUGAGCGGCCACACUAGAACUGAGACACGGUCCAGACUACUACGGGAGGCAGCAGAAGAGAAUCUUCCGCUAAGGGCGGAAGCUUGACGUGGCAACGCCGCGUGAGUUAUGAAGUGCUUCGGAUCGUGAUACUCUGUUAUUAGGGAAGAGCAAAUGUGUGAGUAACGAUGCACUUCUUGACGGUACCUUAUCAAAAAGCAACGGCUAACUACGUG